rnacentral:rRNA from 1 species
AUUGAACGCUGGCGGCAGGCCUCACACAUGCAAGUCGAACGAGUAGCGGACGGGUGAGUAAUGUCUGGGAAACUGACUGAUGGAGGGGGAUAAAUACUGGAAAAGGUAGCUAAUACCGCAUACCAUAAGAUGUGCCCAGAUGGGAUUAGCUUGUUGGUGGGGUAACGGCUCACCAAGGCUACGAUCCCUAGCUGGUCUGAGAGGAGGACCAGCCACACUGGAACUGAGACCAGUCACAGACUCCUACGGGAGGCAGCAGUGGGGAAUAUUGCACAAUGGUCGCAAGCCUGAUGCAGCCGUGCCGCGUGUAUGAAGAAGGCAUUCGGGGUGUAAAGUACUUUCAGCGGGGAGGCGUUACCCGCAGAAGAAGCACCGGCUAACUCCGUGCCAGCAGCCGCGGUAAUAC